rnacentral:rRNA from 1 species
UGGGCGGGACGGGGUGAGUAAUGUCUGGGAAACUGCCCGAUGGAGGGGGAUAACUACUGGAAACGGUAGCUAAUACCGCAUAACGUCGCAAGACCAAAGAGGGGGACCUUCGGGCCUCUUGCCAUCGGAUGUGCCCAGAUGGGAUUAGCUAGUAGGUGGGGUAACGGCUCACCUAGGCGACGAUCCCUAGCUGGUCUGAGGGGAUGACCAGCCACACUGGAACUGAGACACGGUCCAG